CUCUGCGACUCCAGGUUUCCACAAAGUACUUGAUGACUGGGCGAUCCUGUGCCUGAUGGUCGUCUACAGUUCAAGCUGAAGCACUUUGACACCUGGCUGAGGUAAAUAAUGUGAAUGCGGUUUGGUGCUUUAUGAGCCAGUAUCUUUGCAGCGAGGCAGCCUGCGUGUCCUCACUUCAUAACAAACUUAUCUUCUGGCUUAGUGGGAGGUUUGUGACUGUCACGGCUGCAUUUUAGAUAAAGCCCGGCGUCCUGGUCAAAGACGUGUCCAGAAUUUUGUGAAAAAAUUGUCGUCACAGCAAUUUCUUUCAAGGACUACACUGAAUACAUUUCUAUGCACUGAGUGUUUGCAGAAAGUGUCAGAGAGCAGUCUAUAAAGAAGCACACAUAACGCACACUAAUCACAAAAAACUGCUUCAGCAGCAAAACGCUCAUACUGCCGGUUUGAUGCCUCUUCAUAUACACAGAUUCGGUGUUCAGCAGAGAUGGUCAACCACCUCAGUGAUUGACCAAUAGAAAGCUUCCUCGUUAAACAUUGCUAUAAGGCUGCUGAUCAGUGUUAAUUUGACUGAAUACAUAAAUUUCACCUCAUUGUGACUUAAUUGAAGAGAUGAAUUUUACAUAAUCCUCAUCAGCUGAAGCCGAGGGAAGGAAAAUGUUGUACACACAGAUAAAAGUGGUCUUAAAGUUAAAAGAGGGUGCGUAACAGCUCACAAAAUAUUCAUUGUGACCAUUCGUCCUCUUUUACCUGGACAUGUCCUCUUUUGGGGGGCUGUACGGCCUGUUUGGUGGAAGUUUAUAAAAUCCUUCAAAUGUCCGGGUUUUUGUGUAGCAGUUUUGAGUUUGUGAAGCAUGGACUAACUAAGUUAGAAGCACGUAAAACACACUUGACCCGACCCGACCCGACCCGACCUGAAAAACCAUCAAAAUUUUACACGCGACUCCACCCCGUGUAGUACUGUCCUCUUUUGGGGGAUUCAGAAUAUGGUCACCCUAACAUAUGUUUUUUAUGGAUAUCAUUAUUGAUAUAGAAAAAAGAAGAGGACCUAAGGAUGAGCCUUGUGGGACUCCUAUCUCAACCUUUAGUUAUUCAGAUUAACAGCAGCAAAAACACAUCGGUUCAGCAGCUAAAUGUGGCUUUGUCACUUCCGGUCUGGACUCAAAUUGCACAGGAUUAGAUGGAUGGAUGGAUGGAUGCAUGGAUGGAUAUAGAUGGAUGGAUGGAUAUAGAUGGAUAGAUGGAUGGAUGGAUGGAUACCGUGAAUGUGCUUAUCAUAGUCUCCAACACUGUCAAGUCACUCUAUGUCCAAUCUAGAAACAUCAGCGUUUAUAAUACCUAUUUACAACCAGUAUUGGCAUCAUUCAAAAUCACAGACAUGGAGUGUACACCGUAGUUGUUCAUCUUCAGCUGCAGGUUCUUGCAACCUGUUGACAUAUUUAUUUUUGCAGCAGGAGUGUCAAACAUUAAUUCUAUUGUAAUGCUCUUGUCAUUUUUUAGCAUGACUUGAGCUCUCAGAGGGUAAUUACGGCUAUUGUUGCAUGUGCACACAACAUAUCAUUAAUAAGAAGGUAAUUGAUUGCAAUAUGCCAGAGUGAUGUCAAUCAAAACAUCAUUAACUCACGGUCUCAACAACUUCAAGGAGCCACAUGAGACUCUCAGCUGCAAUCUUCUGUAUUCUGUAUAUUCUUUCUUUCAAGCGUAAUUACCAAAAGUCGUUAAGCUAACACCUGAUCACAGCGCUAAAAUAUGCCCAUGCCGCCUCUCUGAAAUAUAUCCCUACAGAUAGUAUUCAAAUGAUUUCCACAAAAGGAGUCUUGAGCAUUUUACUCGAUGGUGCCUUUUUAUUUAGAGGACAUAAGAUGUUUAAUGGCUCUGAUUUUGGCCCGUCUAAGAUAACAGCGUGCUGUCUAUUUAAGGGACAGAGUGAUGCAUGAGUAUAUCCAGCUCCUCAGUAGAUAUGCCAGUGAUAUUGUGAUGGAGUAAGAAGGGAUAAACAUCCACUCAAGACAGACUGAGACUAAAUGACCUACAAUAGUGUCCCCAUUCAUUUAUUCACGCUGUUGUUUACAGACACGUCACCAAAUCUCUUCUGCUUGAUCGAGGAGAAUAUAGAAGCUCAACCACUCAUCCAACUUGUGCUCAGACGUUCAUGACUGUGUUCUUCUCUUUGUCCCGGACUCCAGCAGCCAGAAAUAACUCGAACAGAGAAGCUUGACAGCGUGAAUCCAACUUGGUUCCAAUCUGCUGUCAGGAAGCCGCCUGUCGCUGUGGGAUGAAGAGUGACAGCGAGAUGUGAAGUUAAUGGACCGCAGUGCUGUCUGGCUCAAACGAUUAUAAUGACAGAAAUGGAAAUUACACAGUUUUUCCCCUUUUGGAUGCAUCUGCGAGUGAGGGUUCUGACCAUGCAGAGAAUGGAGGAAUUAAGGGUGGUGAAGUUCAAAUCUUAGAUAUUGAUUUCCAUCAGGAGAGAGAGAGAAAGUGGCUCUCGGGGGAUCAGUCAGUUUUAGCUUUCAGGACUUGGAGGAUAAGCCACUGAGAUAGACUGAUGACAUCUCAAAUGAACUCUGAUACUCAUCACAUGAGUACACACACUUCUCACUAACUGAUCAGAUUUUCCUUACAGAUACUUCUCUCAAACCCACUCAGCUCGUCAAUAAAUGAACUGUGCAUGUUGUUAUGUCUCAUCAAAGUCUCCGAGGUUUCGCUGUGGGACUUUGAAAAGCUAAUCUCAGGGAUGGUUAAUGAUUAAAACGGAGGCUGUAAGAUGAUUUCUUACAGAUCAAUCAGAGAAAUUUAAAUUUUAGUAGCUAAAAUUAUUGAUUGCAUUUCUCAUCACGUGUUGAGGAUCUCAUUAUUUUAUAAUCCAAAACUGUUUUCAAGCCUUAAUUAAUGAUGUAAAGCUUUCUUACCUGUGUCUUAAUUUUAGGGAAAAAAAUCAAUGCAAUAAGAUGUAUUUAAUGAUUUAGACUAGUGGUCGACUAUGGCUGAUAGGGAUGACAAUAAUUGACAGAACUGGUCAUCCAAUAAAGUGCUGAUCGUCUCUACCAUUUUUUUUUUUUUUGCCUUUUAUUUAAGAUAAUGAUUUAAUAAUAAUGAAACUAGUUGUUUUAUGCAAAUUGCAAUAUGAUAUAAAUAGUUAACUUAACCAAAGACAUGUUUUAGGUGGAUUAUGAAUUAAUGGAAAGUUAUAUUGGGC